CUCAGGACGAACGCUGGCGGCGUGCUUAACACAUGCAAGUCGAACGAUGAACCACUUCGGUGGGGAUUAGUGGCGAACGGGUGAGUAACACGUGGGCAAUCUGCCCUGCACUCUGGGACAAGCCCUGGAAACGGGGUCUAAUACCGGAUACUGACCACCACGGGCAUCUGUGGUGUUCGAAAGCUCCGGCGGUGCAGGAUGAGCCCGCGGCCUAUCAGCUUGUUGGUGAGGUAAUGGCUCACCAAGGCGACGACGGGUAGCCGGCCUGAGAGGGCGACCGGCCACACUGGGACUGAGACACGGCCCAGACUCCUACGGGAGGCAGCAGUGGGGAAUAUUGCACAAUGGGCGAAAGCCUGAUGCAGCGACGCCGCGUGAGGGAUGACGGCCUUCGGGUUGUAAACCUCUUUCAGCAGGGAAGAAGCGAAAGUGACGGUACCUGCAGAAGAAGCGCCGGCUAACUACGUGCCAGCAGCCGCGGUAAUACGUAGGGCGCAAGCGUUGUCCGGAAUUAUUGGGCGUAAAGAGCUCGUAGGCGGCUUGUCGCGUCGGUUGUGAAAGCCCGGGGCUUAACCCCGGGUCUGCAGUCGAUACGGGCAGGCUAGAGUUCGGUAGGGGAGAUCGGAAUUCCUGGUGUAGCGGUGAAAUGCGCAGAUAUCAGGAGGAACACCGGUGGCGAAGGCGGAUCUCUGGGCCGAUACUGACGCUGAGGAGCGAAAGCGUGGGGAGCGAACAGGAUUAGAUACCCUGGUAGUCCACGCCGUAAACGGUGGGCACUAGGUGUGGGCAACAUUCCACGUUGUCCGUGCCGCAGCUAACGCAUUAA
rnacentral:rRNA from 1 species